AAGUUAUAUUUAUCAUUUCAUUUUUUGAUAAAAAACAUUUUUUGGUUUCUGUUCCGGUGUACAGAAAAGAUGGUUUACCAACUCGUGAGAACGCCACAUAAUUCAUAAAAGGGAAGAAAUGGCCCAACAAUAUACUGUCCAUGAUUGGAAGGCUCUAAUUCGCAAAAUUCACCAUUUAGUAUGCCGACUGGCUGGCGAAGAAAUCGAUAAUGUGCGAACUAAAAUUACUUCCACCCUACAUACAUAUGUACAUAGAUAACACCGGCUGCAGCUUUGGAAAUGAAUGAGAAACUAAAGUGCGAGGAAUUUGCCACAGCAACGAAAUGCAGUUCAGAGAGCGUAUGUGAUGUGUUGCGACAUCUGUACACUGACGAAUUCCUCAUUUUGUGUAACUGGUCUACUGGUGUUCAACAUAUUAUAUGAUUCUUUCAUCACUUGUGAACUGGCAAAUUUCGAAAAACAAAUUCGAAAAUCCAUCGAAAUGGGAAUUAAUUUGAAAAUCUAAUUUUUUUUAUGAAUUAAGUUUUGGAUUAGAAUAUUA
rnacentral:lncRNA from 1 species